rnacentral:tRNA from 1 species
UCUGGGUUAGCUUAGUGGGUAGAGCUUGGGGCUUGUGACCAGAAGGUCCUGGGUUCGAAACUAGUAGAA